GAACCUCCUUGCAGCCAUGAAAUAACUACAAGAAGUUACACCACCUGUUUGUUCAGAUAAGACAACACAAGCGGCACCCUACCACAGAUCUAGCCUUUGCCAUGUGACAGAAAACAUGCUAGGGCACUGCUCAGACUAUUCCAGCGUGGUUCAUCAGGAAGGCAAGAGCCUAUUGCAGUCCCUGCUCACCUACCCCUGUCAGCACAAAAUUCCUCACCACCUCCUCAAGACCUUAUUUUAGUCUAUCCAGCAUAGCUUCAGCCAGUCUGUCAAUCAAUCAUUGAAGGAGCUGCAAGUUCUUUAGUAUGGUCAAGAAUCUACUGAAGAGGAAACAGAUCUCUAAGAUGGAGAGAAAACAUUCAAGAGUUUCAGCAAAGGUCAUGCCUGCUUGAGAGGGACAAAAAUUGAGAAUGUUUGCCAGCAGCCCAUUAUGAGACUGGAAGUUUCCUAAGCUUGAUGUUCUUCAGCUAUAACAUAGAUCGACCUUCACCAGGGCCUGCCUUCGUAUCACCUAUAUGGGACUUUGGGGGCAAGGGGAGCUGGUGCAAAGUGCACAAUGCCUGCUGUGCAGGUCCUUCAACAGUGAUCUGGCUAAUUAAGAAAGCUUGGUGACAGCAAUAGGGCCUCUAAUGGCACUAGUGAAGGAGGUUGAAUGUCCCAGAUGGUCCAGCUAUGAGAUGUCAGAGCUAACACAACCUAAGUCUUUGAAAUGGGUUCCAGCUCUAUCCAGGAGAACAUAAGAGAGGGCAGCCGCCAUCUUCUGUGGCCAUAGCACCCUGAAUGCGACCAAUCUCGUCUGAUCUCGGAAGCUAAGGUCCUUUUUCUUGGCCAUAAUGGCUGGUAAAGAAGUCAUCUUGUGCCAUGGUCAUACACCUAACUCUCCUUCAGGACUAUACCAGGCAGCCAUAAUCUAUAGGUCUGGAGAGAGAAAUGAAUGAUGGUACCAAUGUAGCUCCUACCAAGUAUCCUAAUCAUUUCCCUGAAACUUAAGAAAUGAUCCAGAAACACUCAACAAGAAUUCAUUUCCAUGUAAAAUGGAAAAUUGAGAUGAUCACCCAGGCAAAACAAUUUUGGCCAUAGAUGAACCUUUUUA